GGCGUCACUUCGUCUGAUACCUCGAUGCGAAACCGAUGGUUGGGGAGACGGAUGAUGCGCACGCCGUGGAUCGGGACUUCGAUCUGCCGCGCAAGGCGCGCGAGCAAUGGAUUGGCUUUCGUCUUUCGCCCAAAGAAUGUGAUAUCGACGCCGCGGCCGAAGUGCUGGUCUACCAGCAUGCCGACGUGGAUGCCGUUCUGCAGGG
rnacentral:misc_RNA from 1 species